GGCUGGUUGGCUACGUUCGGAAGGGAUAACCGCUGAAAGCAUCUAAGCGGGAAGCCUGCUUCAAGAUGAGGUUUCCACGGGCUUAGGCCCGAGAGGCACCCGGUAGACCACCGGGUAGAUAGGCCGGAUGUGGAAGUGGGGACUAAAGACCCAUGGAGCUGACCGGUACUAAUAAGCCGACAACUUGACACAUAC
rnacentral:rRNA from 1 species